UACGUAGGUGGCAAGCGUUGUCCGGAUUUAUUGGGUUAAAGGGUGCGUAGGCGGCCCUGUAAGUCAGUGCUGAAAUACCCCGGCUUAACCGGGGGGUGGCAUUGAUACUGCAGGCUUGAGUACAGAUGAGGUAGGCGGAAUUGACGGUGUAGCGGUGAAAUGCAUAGAUAUCGUCAAGAACACCGAUAGCGAAGGCAGCUUACUGGGCUGUAACUGACGCUGAUGCACGAAAGUGUGGGGAUCAAACAGG
rnacentral:rRNA from 1 species